rnacentral:rRNA from 1 species
UACGUAGGGUGCGAGCGUUAAUCGGAAUUACUGGGCGUAAAGCGUGCGCAGGCGGCGCGUUAAGACAGGUGUGAAAGCCCCGAGCUUAACUUGGGAAUUGCGCUUGUGACGGGCGGGCUGGAGUGUGGCAGAGGGAGGUGGAAUUCCACGUGUAGCAGUGAAAUGCGUAGAGAUGUGGAGGAACACCGAUGGCGAAGGCAGCCUCCUGGGCCAGAACUGACGCUCAUGCACGAAAGCGUGGGGAGCAAACAGG